rnacentral:lncRNA from 1 species
UUACAUUAUGGCCUCAUACAUUUUCUGCAAUAGAAAAACAUCAACAUGAAAUAACAUAAAGACCAAACUAAAUUAAGAACUGUACCAUUCUCACUAACAAACCUAAAAAUUAAUGCUUGAGAAACAUCAAAACCCUGAAAAACAAUACCAACAGUUCAUGCCAUAGCUUUGAAUCUUCAUAUAUAUGACUCCAAUCCAUGCCAUCAGUUCCUCUUCUUAGCUUCUUUUGCUAGGCUUCAAUCUGUGAUACAUACACAUGCACACCCUUUUCUGUUAAUUUCUAUAUCUAUCUCUCUCUCUAUAUAUAUAUAUAUAUGUAUGUAUAUAUGUAUAUAUGAAAAACACAUUAAGCUGACACUAAAGGAAGGAUCAAUCUUACUUGUUCUGUGUAGGAUUUGGUGUUGGUUUUGGUAUCGAUCUAAGGCUAAAUGCUACCACACGCUUCUGAGUUAUUUUGUGCCGUUCUCUUUGUAGCAAGAGUGAAUGUGAAUGAGAUUGGGAAACAAAGGGUGUAGAAGGGUAUGACCUAGCUUGGG